rnacentral:rRNA from 1 species
GACGAACCGUGCGAACGUUAUUCGGAAUCACUGGGCUUAAAGCGCGUGUAGGCGGGAGGGCACGUCCGUCGCUGAAAUCCCCCGGCUCAACCGGGGAACGGGCACGGAUACGACCUUCCUGGAGGGGCGUAGGGGGACCUGGAACUUCCGGUGGAGCGGUGAAAUGCGUUGAGAUCGGAAGGAACGCCCGUGGCGAAAGCGAGGUCCUGGACGCCUACUGACGCUGAGACGCGAAAGCCAGGGAGCGAACGGG